GGUCGGGUCCUGCGCAACGGCGCCCCGUGAACCGAGUCAGGGCCGGAAGGCAGCAGCUCUCAGCGGAAGGCGACGUGUGCCGCAGUCCGCCUGACCGUC
rnacentral:SRP_RNA from 1 species